AUGAUCACCUCGACGCAGCAGGGGUGGCUGGCGGCCGGCUACUGGCCGCUCUGGAGCACUCGUCGGAAGCUGCCGUGGCCACUAUGGUACGUCGCCGGCGGUCGUAUCCCCUUUGCCACUGGCUACGACGGCGACGGCCAAAUCUCCUCCAUUCGACGGCCAAAACUACGGCGAAAGCGCGGGCGUGGUGGCGGCCAUGUCGAAACGUGGUUUGUCAAGUGCACCCCAUCGAUCGAAUCAAUAGAAGAAUAUAUGGUACCUGAAUUGACAUCAGCAGCUGGACACUUCUUCAGAGCUGGAGCUGAAGGGAAAAGAACAUGCCCUACUGAGCGAGCUUCAUGCAAGACAGAUGCACAUUGCUCCUGCACUGUCAUUGAUGCUCCUGGACACCGUGAUUUCAUCAAGAACAUGAUCACUGGGACCUCCCGGGCUGAUUUUGCGGUGCUUAUCAUUGAAUCCACCACUGGUGGUUUUGAGGCUGGUAUCUCCAAUGAUGUCCAGACCCGUGAGCAUGCUCUCCUUGCUUUCACUCUUGGCGUCAGGCAGAUGAUCUGCUGCUGCAACAAGAUAGAUGCUACUACCCCAAAGUACUCCAGGGCUCGCUACUUUGAAAUUGUCAAUGAAGUUAGCUACUACUUGAAGAAGAAGAAGAAACGUAUUCGCAACAGAGCCUCCCAGGAACGUCUGACCGUGUUGAUUGACAAAUUCACUGACGAUCAAAAGGGAGCUGCUGCUGAGAUGGGUAUGCAGGUUCUGAUGGAUGUCCGGUGUACGAACCUUGUCAACCCGGUAUGCGACUGGCUUGGUGAGAUAUACGAUCCCGCCUCCAGGGAAUUCGUGAUCCCGGGACGGGGAAGACUUCCAUUGAAUGAGGAAUCCGUGUUCUGCACUUCGGGUGUGCCUCGGGGACAUAUCAAAGUCCCGUACGAGGUUAAUAAUGAGAUCGAGGAAGAGCUGUUCGCCCGUUUGUUUCCUGGGUUGGAGGCAAUGCCGAACACGUCUGUACUGGCAGAUUCUCUGCAGGACAUGACGACGCACGGAGAAGUUUUCAAGAUGAAGCUACUCAUGUACCUCAUCUCAGCUGUUUUCGCGCCGACCACUUCUCUUCGCCCAAGCAACAAAUGUUUCCCCAUCCUGGCGAAUCUGAAAAACGUGAAGAGUAUGAACUGGUGUAAGUUUAUUGCCGACUUUCUCCACGAUGCUUUCAAAAACAAGGUGUACCAGAAGGGUUGUCGUAUGCACUUAAUGCUCAUGUAUGUCGACGCUCUUGAUCUGUCCACCGUGGAUUUCACCGGGAUAGGAGGCCCGCCGCCUACUCACAAGUUUGCUGUUUCUGCGUGGACCAUCAGCGCUGUCAAGGCUGUGCUUGCCGCAGACAGGGCAACUGAUGGCACAUAUGGAAAACUACAGGCGAGGGCACCAGUGGAGCAUCUAAUUGGGCAGUUCGCAUCCGGAAUGAUCGGCCUGCUCAGGAAGUUGGUUGAGGGGUGGACGUCCCUCAGUGCCUCUGACAGCGACGCGGUUGCGAGGCAGUUCACUUCAUUUGAUGAUGUGGAUGGAGACGCUGGCCUCAGCAAGGACGACGACGAUGACACCGAUGACGAUGAACACGCUGAAGUUCGCACAUGCGGCAACAAGGGCAAGGAUGCAACAGGUGCCCACCCACCGGAGAAAGUGAAAGAACAUACGGCUGCGAGAGGCGAGGGGGUUUUGCCAUCAAGGAGGGGGAGGGCUCCAGAGGAUGUUGGGCAGGGUUCUGCUGGCAAGAGGUCUAGGAUCGACCCCGUAGCUGCCAGGAAGAGUGAGCCGAUCGCUGGUGGACGAGCAGCUAUGAAGAAACAGGCGCCAACGCCAACCCGUGUUUCUGCUCGCUUGAACAAAGGUGCCCCCAUUGCCGGUGACAUCCCUUCCACCAGGUCUUCUGCUCGUAUGACGACGACCAACACCGGGGAUCCUGUCGUGUUGCCUGACCUGAGGAAGGCAGUCAAGAAGGUGAAGAAGACUACUACGCGCGGGGCCAAGCAUAUCAGUAGAGACCCACUCGAACGCCUGCAUUCAAAGUUGUCAACAGGUGGCAACUCAGAUGUACAUGAGGCGCCAGGCGACAAUACUGCUGCUGCACCGUCAACUGCUCCCACUAACUCUGAUGCAAGUGGCCGACCAUCUCUGCCAGCUGCAGAUGUGCAGGCUAGAACAACAGGCAUCCGUACAUCGGGGAGUGACGAGUCGGUAUCCGCCAGGACAACUGAAAUAUUGCCAACUCUUCUGGCAAUGAAGGAUACUGCUGUGAGCCAUGCCACCCCAUCAGCAAGCGUCGAAGUGGAUGCUCCCGAGACCAACCUAGGCAAGGAAGAUUCCUGCUCAUCUGACACUGAUUCCAAGCGCGUGCCUGGUGUCUCACCUGUGUCCAUGACAGAAGCGGCUGAGGCGGCACUUCACAAGGAUAUGCCAUCUGCAGAUGAGAAUCCUGGCACAACAGCUCCAGCUCCUGUCGGUGGAGAUACUGCUAAGGCGAUCGUUCCGCGUGCUGGUCUUCCACCUAGGCGUCGUAGCCCCCGCAAGCAAUCAAUAGACACACCCAACGCUCCGGCUGUAGCUAGGAGCAGGAGAGACGAAUCUGGUUAUGUUCCUGCGUCCACACUGUUCCCGCCAUCUACAAAAAUCAAUGUGAUGGAGAAACCGCAAGACCGGAGCACAACUGAUGCAGGUGUCAAGCCGGGCACGAGUGACGCAGAGGAACGCCCGGAGCAGACUGCGCCUUCACCCGCAGCGGAAAUCCCCAGCAUAAAUCUGCGCACUUCCAGGCUCCCAGUCAAUGUCGGUGUCCCCUACAGUCCAAACAAGAAGAUUGUCAUGAAAGCUGCGGCUGAGACCGCUGACAACACGCCCCGCCCUGCAAAUAAGGCCGAUCAUUUUGUAGCGGCCGAUUCAGAUAUGCUUGUCGAUCUUUCACCCUUGGAUUCUGCCCCGAAAGUCGUUCGUGGUCCGGCCAGUAGGAAUGAGAGGCACCCAAUGGCCUUUACCCCACCGAGCUUCAGCCUCGGCGUCAGUCAAGAUCAACCGGUGGUGCACGAUCCUCUACCAGUUGCCUUUGCUUUCCCAGGAGGCAUGCCCGCAAUGAUGGCGCAGCCAAUGGUCGAGGGCAGGAAGGCUGUCAAGUUCGCAGAGCCAAUUGUGCAAGCCACCCCUGAGGAGAUUUCACCGUCACUUGAUGAAGUUUACCGCAUGAUCGAGGAGACAACAUUGCAGAGGAGUUCCUCACGAGGGCAAGGGCAAUCAAGUUCCAAUGCGCCUGCAGAUACGGUAUCUGAGGAUACCAUUAGGAGUGUCACCCCUGGUCCUGUGAGGCAGCAGAGGGUAGUUCACCCACCCCCCGCGGAAGACUACGAGCCCGAAUUCAGGGCCACUAAGGAACAGACCCAGCUGUACGAUAUCGUCAAGCAUUUUGGAAAUGCAAGGACCAACAGCAAGCACAUGAAGGAGCUGAAAGCAACGAAAGUCAUUCAGUGCGGAGCGACGUACGUCGACCUGGGUGAUCUUGCCGAGUCCAUGAGGCCAAACGGAAAAAUGUCGACGAAUGUAGUUGCAUGCGGGAUCGACUACAUCAACAAUCACACCGAUGUAUGCGCCGACAAGAUAAUCAUGCAUUACAGUGUGACCUGCAAAAUAUGGGAUGGUGACUUCCACCACAAAAUCCUGAGGAACAAUUUUGCACAACACGGUGACUUCAAGCUCACACUGAAGAAAUAUGUCAUGUUCCCCAUGUUCCAGGAGCUUGCACCACACGACCGACACGACAAGUGUGGUCACCACUAUGCGGUCUGUCUUGAGCUGAAGAACCAACGUAUCGAGGUGCUUGAUUCAAUCCGUUCGGAAGCUGAUGCAGACCUUACUACGCAUGCUGAACUCUUCAUCAAGAACCUCAAAGAGACUUGGAACCGUCACUACGAACAUUCAAAGGUCCAGAUCAGGCAUUUCCCGACUGAGACGGACUGUGGCUUUCACGCGCUGGAAUACUUUGCAAAGUGGGAAGGCAGAAUUGUCCCCGCUAUCACAGAUGCAACGGUCGUUGAGCUCCGAAAAAUCUGCACAUGGAACUGGCUGACGAAUGAAGAUUUCAACAAGCGGUCCGGAGCACGCGAGUUCGUGGAGGAAGCUGUCAAGCAAGUCAUCAAGAAGUACAAGUGA
rnacentral:rRNA from 1 species